CACCUUUGAAACCAUUAAGACAAUAUCCUGAGUGUCUGCUCCCCCAUCAUCAUGUUUGCCCACUUAAAUUGUUACUCCCUACUGUCAGGCUGUGGUCAGGAGGAAGGUGAACAGGCUCCAGGGCACUCUGUUCUGAUUUAUUUUGCAAGGGUUAUGGCAUGGAUCUCAGAGCAUGGGGAUGGGUGUACACAUGCCAUUUCUAGGUACUGGGAAAGCAGGACCACCGGGCUGGUACAAGGGCUGCCAGGGCUUUUCUAGGCAGCAGGAGGUAGAAAGUACAGGGCAGUCCACCCGAGAGUCAGAGCAGAGAGGAGCACUGAGCUGCGCGUGAAUACACACAGGUAUUUGAAGAUUCCUGUGAGCUACAUCCACAGAUAUAUGUACCCAGAGAUUACCAUUACCACCUUUAUCUGACCAUGGGAGGGUCUGUAAGGACUGUGACCCUACAUCUCACAUCAUGGGUUGAAAGACCAAACUGAGGCUGCACUGGACCCAUGGGAACCCUAGAGUGGCUGGGUCAUAAGCCAUACCUUCAGGUGGGAGAAAGGGGCCUUUUAUCCCUGGCCUGGUCUACUGGGCCACCUUGCCAAAAGUUACAGGGUGAGACCAUGGGGUUUUCAAGAUGGGUCACGAGAGCUUCAUUGAGAGCAGAGCUUUCCCAACCUAUGCAGGCUGGAGCGGCUCAGGAAGGUGUAAGUAGUGUGGGCAUGGGCCUGCUCCUAGUUUUAGGGUGGACAGGAAGGAAGGGAAUAGAGGUUGUAGACCCCAGCCCCAAGUGAUUGGUAGUCCAAAUGGUCCUUCCCCCAAAUAGGCUGGUCAGAGGCCCUCAAUGCCCAGCACCCAGGACUACACACACUGGCCUUUAUUCUCAAGAAGCCUCUGGGACCUCCUCUGUGGGACAGACUUGCAGUUCCCCACUACUCCUGGUGGGAUUCCCAGAAGAGUGUGAAAUGGGUCCUUUGUGCUGGGACCACCAUCUCAUUCUUGAAAACAAGCCCCAAGCAGCAGCAGAUAAAAGGGAGGGGGAAAGACUUAAGGGCGGGCCUAGUGGUGACAUCAGGGAAGGGAACCUUCUCUAAGUUCCAGCCUUGUCACAGACCAAGAAGCACUGGAAACUGAAGAACACUAUCCUUGGAGCAGGAGGUUAGUGACUCAUUUAUGGCCCUGGGGUUUGGUGCAUGAGGGCCUACCAGAGAAUCCACUGGGGAGAGACUGGGGAAAGUGAUAAGGCCCCACAAGUUGAGGGACUCAAGUGUAGCCUGGAGACCUGAGCAUCUUCAGAUCCUAUGAGGGUUUCAGAUGACACUUGGAACUAAGGACAUACGAAAAGGGCUGGUGGGCAGCAGAGAGAACUUAUGUCCAUCAGCUGUGACCACCCUGGCUGUGAAGUAGGGAGGGGUCUGGCUUCAGAGUGAGUCCAGAAGGGAGGGAGGGCCAUCUGUGGCACUUCGUAGGCAGAUGGGGCAGCAGUUCAUAGCACUGACACCUUAGUUUAAAUUUUCUGGAUGGAUGUGUAUAUAUACACUCUAGAGCAGUGGUUCUCAAUUUUCCUAAUGCUGUGGCCCUUUAAGAAGUUCUGCAUGGUGUGGCGAACCUCAAUCAUGAAAUUAUUUUUGUUGCUACCUCAUAACUAUGAUUUUACUAUUAUGUAUCAUAAUGUAAAAAUCUGUGCUUUCCAAUAAUCUUUGGUAAUCCCUGUGAAAGGGUCAUUAGAUGCCCUCACCCCCACCCCGACACACACAAAGGGGUCACAACUCCCAGGUUAACUACUGUUUUAGGGUGUAUCAGCCUGUAGUCUUCCUACUGGUCCCAGCUCUGCUCCCAGAGCUGGCUUCUCUGCAGAGGUAACCUUGAGUAUCCAGGAAAUGCAGGUGCUUUGUGCGGGGGUGGGGUGGGGAGCUGGGUUCCUUAGGCUCACAAAUUCCAGACUGGGUCAUGCUUGUGUUCCCUCUUCCAAAGUACUACCCUUAGGUGGUGAGCUCUACCCCGCUGGCCUCUCUCAAGCAUUGUUUCCCAACUUCGGAGAGGACCCAAGGGCUCCCCAAUACUUUUCGUUCCUACUGUGCCUACUACUGCUAUAAUCAGAACUUGGUCUCACAUGUCCCUUCUGCUUGAGAGCAAGCCACCAAAUGUGGUGACCUUGAUGGUAUGAAUCUAUCCAAACCAAUCUCAGACACCAUGUGGGGCUGCUGGGGCCUCAAGGAUUCCCCGCCGUGUCUCUCUACUGUGGCUGUGAAUACCAGAAGGGGCAUGGGCAGUGCUCCCCUGUUCAGGGAGACUUGGCUCCCUGCAGAGGGUACUUGGAGUACACAAGCAAAUUGUGUAGCUGAGGGUCCUUUGUUCAGUGGGACGCCUCAGUGUGGCUUCAGUCUUCAUCAACAUCUCCAUAAUGAUAAGUCAUAGACCUCUGGGCUUCACUCACAUCUGUAGGGACAACCUGCUAGUCCAUGGGAAUGGAUGCAGAACUAGCUUUCUGUCAGGGAGUGGGUAAGACAGUUCCUUAAGUGGUGAGGGCUUUGACCUCUCCUCCCACAGGCUGCGCAGUAUGAGCCUCCAAGGCUCCUACCUCCGCUUCUGCCUCUGGAUGUUCUUGGGCACCACGUUGGCACUGGGGCAGGGACAAGGUAAGGAGGCAAUGCCCCCACUGCAACAAGAAGAACUCUGCUACAAGCCUCUGACUUGCCAGAACAGGCAUUUCCCUGUAGAGUAAAUGCUAACCUGAGAGCUGUUGUGGCAACAGGCAAGCUGGUAGAGCAGAGGAGAGAACACUCACACUCAGCUCUUGCCUUGACCUUGUGGUACUUCGGCCUUGCUUAGGGAGGCUUUCUUGCCUAAGUUAUUUCAAGAUUACUGACAUUCUCCAAAUUUGACCCUUUAUCUAUGCCUUGCAUAAUUCUGUAAAAUUUUCAAUCUGGUUUCAUAUACUACACACAUGGCUUAAUAGAGAUCAAUACUCCUGCCUCUUCCCUCCCAAGGGGGUAAAAAAAAGCCUUCCUACACUGUCUUCGAAGGGUGGUGUACCUCUCUUCUCUGUACGUGUCUUGGGGCAAGAGGCUCCAUCUGGACCCUUUCAAUUUGGCCAUUCCAGGCUCCCCCGGGAAAGUCUCUCGUAGUAUUUCUAUGACCUCCAAGGGAUGUGCACAGGACUUGGGGAGGAUCUGUGUUACAGACUCCUUCCUGUGGAGCUGCUGGCUCAGGUGGGUCCCUGGAAGGCAUGUUUCUGUGUGCCCAUAGCCUUCACACUCAUGACUACAUCUAGCUCCCAGGAACAAUAUAGUAUGUUCCUCAUGA
rnacentral:lncRNA from 1 species